rnacentral:hammerhead_ribozyme from 1 species
ACACUGCUGAAGAGUCCCACAAUAGGACGAAAUGAACGUCGAGUGC